GAGGGAAGCAACUCUGUGGUGGGAAGAGAGCCCUGAAGGAAUGGCCGGGAGAGAAACAGAAGAAGCACCUGCGGGGAGGCAGUUAGAAGGAUGAGAGGAAAGUCGCCCCAGAUAGUGUGUUUACAACUAUCAGGACAAUAAGCCAAGAAAAAGACUGGCUAGGAUUACUGGCGGGUCUGCGCCAGGUUCCAGCCGGCAGAGGCACAACCAGGCCCAUCGGGAUACUGAUUGGUUAGACCUAGAGGCCCAAGGAGCGUCUUUUUUGUACUGCUCGAAGGCAGAUUGCGGAGACAACUGAAUUAUCGCCCGGUGGACCGGGCGAGGGUGUAGGGGUUGGUGGAGCCUUCGCUACACUAAGACAAACUGCAAGAGCCAAAGCAUCAAGACCCACACACCCUGGCAUUCGGCCUUCUCCCGUAACAACAAGUUGUGGCAGGAGAGAUUGCGGGUGUGUGGGAGGGGCCAGCAAGACAUCACGAUGAACUUCAGCUUGUUAGCCAAGGUGCUAAAUAAAGUAAGUUGUCUUGGUGUAGAAGGUAAAGUGUAAAAAAAAUAAAUAAAAAGGGUGGGGGGGGAGCUGCUCGAACAAGAGAUGAGCUCCAGAGAUUGACGACACCUAGAUCAAUAGAGACAAGCCUCUACCACAGAUAAGGGCAGGACUUUUGGGGUGAAAGCCCACUACUGGACACACACAUUAGCUCUCACAAUUAACUUAACUGUGGCAUUGAGCACAUCACAAAACCACGGCCAGGCCAGUCCAACACAAUGGCCAAUCCAUCAAUAGACUUUAACCAUAGAUCACAAAGAAAUACUUGCUCUAACAGGUACACAGACUAAUCAGACGGAGCAUAACAUGAACAGGCAACUAAGGCCAAGAUAUUCAGUGACUUUUACAAAGCUAUUCAAGACAUUCUGCAAAUUAAGUCAAGCCUCCAAAGUCCUAACUACCACUUCCUUUCUUAUCUUUCCCCUGUUAUGAGAGCUGCUUUCCAAAUGAAAGGAAUCAUGGGCAUCAGACCUCCAAGAAUUUAACUGGCAGCCUCACUUGCAACAAGUGUUUGUUGGGUUUUUUUAGGUUGGGGAGAGAGGGUAACAAGAUGCUUGCUGUGCAAAAUGAACUUUUGAAUUUAAGUUAAAUCUUCAUCAUGAUGCAGUGAGUUUAGCCUAGCUCCCUGGCAGGAAUAUCAAGAAUGGCUCAGAUGUGCAUGCACAAGAGGUGUUCAGGAAUGAAAAAAUGUUACCACAGCAUUCUACAUUUUUGUUAGUUUCCUCAGGAACAUCAACCAGAAAAAAAUCGGUCUUUCAGGACUCUUCAAUAAACUUGUCUGGUUUAGCAGCUUAAAAACUGAUAUAAAAUGAAGAUUAAUCUUGGCAGCUCCCCUGCUGUUCCUCCCCACAACCUCCAAAGGAAGAGGAGAGAGGAUUUAGCAUCCUUCAGUGAAAGGGUAAAGAGUUUUAGUCUUAGCUCUGCAGGCAUGCAAUUUGUUUGUUCAUUUGUAGAAGUGUAUUACAGACUGGUACCUAGCUCUCUUUUUUUUUUUUUUUUUGUGCCCUCCAAACUGUUCUUGAAGUACAAGUUAUUGAAAAUUAAAUAGGGCUAGUCGCACAUUUCUAGACCCCUAUAUGCAGAGAGUGUUAUAUCUCUUCUAUGAAAUAUACUGUAAUACCUCUAGUAUUGUAUAGAAAAACCACUGUUAGCAAAAUUAAAAUUCAAGUGCUUUCGGGUGUAUUCUUUUCUAAGAUUUGGAGGUACGGCUCUUUAAAAGUGAUUUCUAUUGAAACUGAAAUGAAACCAAAUGAAAAAUUUCUUGCAUUCGAAAGCUUGUCUGACUAUCUCACCUGUGCAGGUGGUCCAAUAAGAUAUCACCCUAAGAAAUUAUUGUGAAUUGAAGCUGUACUCUUAUUUUUGGGGAGUUCUGAACGAAAGUAAGAUGCAUCACAUUUUGCACAGUUAAACUGUAUCUACUUAAAUUACACCAUUAAAACUUAAUAGAUAGAAGCCACUUAAAUAAUCUUUGCAUAUUCCACCUUGUAAAGUUUUUAUGUUCUAUUUAAAGUUAUUCAACAAAAGAAAAGACAUAAGCAAUGAAGAAAUUCUAAGGUCUGUAGGUUACGGAAAGACCUAGGAAGUUAUCCAAUUUCCAGAGAAUUGAUAAAGCCAGAGGCAGAAAGGAACCAGGGGAGUAGGUUGUGGGAUUAUUUUAAUACUUUCUGUUAACCUUUCAUUUCCAUCACUUUGUUUUUUUUAAGACUGUAACAGUCUUUACAAACAACUUUCAACUCAAAACCUACCUUUAAUGUAACAAAGUUUUUGAUCUGUUGUUUGAGGGGUUGGUGUGGUCUAAAACAUCACAAGAUUUAUAAGGUUGAUCAUUCAAACCUAGGGUGUGUUCAGUCCCUUACCAACUGACAAGUAAAAUGCUGGCAAGCAGGCUUUUAAUUACAAUCACCAAUCACAGAAAAAAGAUUAUGCUUUUCUGGGAAAUGUACAUAAAAGAUUAUUUAUACAUGUACAGUAUAUUACAAAUCAACCAUGUUAAAUUAUUGCAAAUUCAGAUCUAUAUAUUCAUAUAAAAGACUAAUGGUUCCCUACCCUAUCAUUUCAUAAUACAGUACAGCUUCCUAACAAACUCUAAUUAUAACAAGCCUAAUAGCAGGAACUUUUUUUUCUUUAUUAUGUUGUACCAAACUGACCACCACUAUUAUAGCAAGCACCCUUUUUAAUGAACUUUUCUCUCAGUCCAAUGGGUGUUUAUUAUAAUGAGUUUUACUGUAAAAUACGCUGUUGCCAAAGCAGCCAACUUGCACAUUAAUAAAAUGUUGAAGAACUGCUACACAAAAAUUGGAAUAACUUCAGGGGUCAACCUGAAAGCCACAUAUUGACCCUGUCUUUCAAUAUGUAGCUUUCCUUUUAAAGGAUUUCCUCUUCUAUAUAGUAUUAGCUAUUUAUUUCUUCCAAACGACCAGAAUUUGGAUUUUGUCUCUCCAUAAUAUUAUUCUUAAAUAGUGAAAUUAAAAUCCCAGUCUUUUUGCCUGGUGCAAAUUCUCUCUCUCUCUUUGCCUCUUCUUCCACCCACUACACCACCUCUACUUUGUCUCGCCAAUGAUUGAAUAUGACCAUUUAUUCAGUUUUUGGGUAGUGACAAUAGUUUUUGUCUUUCACUUUGCCCCAUGUUUAGGCUAAUAGGAAAAGGGAGACCUCGUAAUCAAAUUAAUCUUCAUAAUGGGUUUCUGGAGGGCACCCUGACAUGUUGAAAUCACUGCAUAAAAGCCAACAAAAUGGCAACAAUUUAGAGUUACUAGUGAUCUGGCUGACUUCUAACCAGCGUUCCAAAGUGAAAUACCCCAUAAUGCCUUACCAGUCUCCAUAAUUCUGUUGUGUUCCUUUACAAAUGUUCUAUCAUAAUGUUACUUACUAUUAUUCUGUUGAAUUAAGCACCUGUAUUACAAGAUAUCCAAGGAUCAGUUCUUUCAAGGAAUACAGAUGUGCUUUUGUAUGGCUUACCCUAAUUCACAGAAAAAUUCAAAUAAACUCUGCUGAAAAUGAACCAAAAUAAAAUGGUUUCCAACUAUCCUAUUAUAAGGCAAUUCUUCACAUGCAGAAAAUGCAUUCUUAUUGAUUUGUUUGCUGAAGGAAUGCAAUGUCUUUAGCCAGUCUGCUGAUAAGUACAAGCCAGCUUUUAAAUACCUCCUGUGUGAAUAGAAUAAUGCAUUUUUUUUAAUCUCCAUAAUCAAAACCAGCUACUACCACCUGCCUUCCUCAAUACUAAUGCUAAUAAUACUAAUACCAAUAAUAAUAAUUCAGGAUUCAUUAACACCAAAUCCAUGCCCAGUAUAUAUCUGAAUUUGGUUCAUAAUAUUUAUCAUUGACAUUAUAUUGAACUUGAAAUUAGAGAUGAACAAAAUCAGUGGCGGUUUUGUUUUCUGUAGGGAGGUUCAAACUUAGGUUCCAAUUUUAUCAAACUAGCCAAAGUUCAGAGGAAGCAGAAGAAUGCUGUCUCUUGCUUAUUUUUCCUUGAAAGUAGGCCACAAAUGCUUAAUUUAGCCCAGCCCUUACAAGGAAGAUACUACAGCUGAGAUCUUCCUUUUAUAGAUGGUUUCUACUUUUCUAACAACUUGGAAAAACAAGCUCAUUCCGUUACUAUAUUUUACCAAUAUGCACAGAAAAUAGCCUGGUGCUUCUCAACGUUCUCCAUAUGUGGAUCUCCCUCUUUCCCCCAACAAAAUCUACCUCCUUUUCUGGCCAAAAUCAUGCCAGACCACUUUCCCAUUUUGCAAUAUGGAAAGAACAGGACAGCUGUAAUGUCUCUCAGCAGUAUGGGAUCCUGCUGAGGGCCACAACUCCCAAGACCCCUGAUAUAGCACAUAUAGAAGCACAACUUAAAAGGAAAGAACAAACGCGUGUAAUUUACAGUGGUGUUUAGAACCCACACUACAUUUUAUUAAAAUGCUUGCUUUUAGUGAUCUGUAGAAAUGAAUCACCCUUAGAUCCAUCUGAAGCUACUGUCCUGCUUCAGAUGCACCAAAGGAAGAACUGAUAAUAUUCACCAAUCUCUGGCUAGGCAGAAUUUUUUCUUGCUUUUAAACAUAUUUGCUAUGUUAUUGUAAACUUGGCAAGGUUCUUCACUUAAUUCUUUUAAACAUAGGUUUAAAAAAAUCACUCUGAUAAACACUCAGUAAGCUACAGGUGAAGGCUUGGCAUGCAAUGAAGAUCUAAACUACAGAAGGAACACAAGAACACAUAAGGAGUAUUAGGGAAUUAUCAAUUUGUGCUUUUGAUAAACUACAGUGUGAGACAACAGCAAAUGCAGAGAAUGAAGGAAGGAAGGAAGGAGGAAGGACUGCUUGUAACAGAAUGAGGAUUAAAGUGCUGGGAUACGGUAGUUUUCAGGUUUUACAGGUUGUAACAGUAAAAUUCACAUUCAAGAUACACAAGACAAUACAUCUGCAAUAAUAGAAAAGAGGCAAACUACAGUACAAUGUAUGAGCACACUAACAUAAUGGACAGUUUUGCUCCGAUUCACAUAGGAUUUAAGUACUUGGUUUGGAAAUCUGAUUUGCAAUUAAUGCCUUCAGUGAUCUUCAUUCCACAGCAUGACCUAACUUACAUUGGCAUGUUUGGGAUUUAUGCCGACAUAUUGAAAGGAAGGAAAAGGUUCCUCUCUCACCAUGUCUUCCAACCCCUGCCCAAAGAAAAAGGAAUGCACUAACAUUUACUCUCAAGGCAGAGGUUUAUCAGUUUGGCUAUUUACAAUAUGCUGGCCUUUUAUACACUUUUGGCAUUUAUACUAUGCUCAUCAUCAUAGUAUCAAAGAGCUUCAGUUCUAUGACCUCAACAUAUAUGUGCAUGUAUGCUGGAGCUGAAUCAGCAUCACGUGACCUGCAAUCUACCUGUAAUUAUACUACAGAGAUGCUUCAGUUUUCAAAAGACAAAUGAAUAUCAUAGAAGCUUUGUCCUACUAACGUUAACAAUUUUUGAGCCUCCUAUCCAGGAAUGAGGUAUCCUCAGGCUUUGAGGAUGCUCUAGGCCAAGAGUUAGCAUGUUUAAUCUAAGAGAAUGGCAGAGCCAACUGAUAAAGAGCAACAUGUGUAAAGAACAAAUGGGGAUUUUUUUUACUUUGUUAUGAAAGGCAAAGUGGGCAUAUUUUUAUAUUUCAUUAAUGAAACAUGCAGAAAUGUACCGUCCAUUUCCAGGUAACUAUGUAUAACAGGCCUGACAAGUAAACUAUUUUGCCUCCAUUUUGUACUCCCUGAAGCCCUUUCUACUAGUCCACAGAUUUGUUUUGUUUCUGUUUACUGAGUGCCCAGUAAACCAACUGCCAAACCUCAAUAUGAAAGUCUUGAAUCAGACCUAUACUACUGUAUGUACUAUAUUUCACAAGUAAAAUUAAGAAUGGCUGUCUAUAGAUAUAUUUUUUUUAAUAAAAACAGGUUCAUAAGGAACACUUA